CCUACGGGUGGCAGCAGUGAGGAAUAUUGGUCAAUGGGCGCGAGCCUGAACCAGCCAAGUAGCGUGAAGGAUGACUGCCCUAUGGGUUGUAAACUUCUUUUAUAUGGGAAUAAAGUGCAGGAUGUAUACCGCUUUGCAUGUACCUUAUGAAUAAGGAUCGGCAAACUCCGUGCCAGCAGCCGCGGUAAUACGGAGGAUCCGAGCGUUAUCCGGAUUUAUUGGGGUUAAAGGGAUCGUAGGCGGGUUGUUAAGUCAGUUGUAAAAGUUUGCGGCUCAACCGUAAAAGUGCAUUUGAUACGGGCAUCCUUAGGUACGGUGGAGGAAGUCGAAGUUCGUGGUGUGGCGGUAAA
rnacentral:rRNA from 1 species